rnacentral:rRNA from 1 species
GAUGAACGCUGGCGGCGUGCCUAAUACAUGCAAGUCGAGCGAACAGACGAGGCGCUUGCUCCUCUCACGUUUGCGGCGGACGUGUGAGUAACACGUGUAUCCCCUACCUAUAAGACUGGGAUAACUUCGGAAAACCGGCUCUAAUACCGGAUAAUCUAUUGCACCGCAUGGUUCAUUAGAGAAUGACGGUUUUGCUGUCACGUAUAGAUGGUUCCGCGCCGCAUUAGCUAGUUGGUAAGGUAACGGCUUACCAAGGCGACGAUGCGUAGCCGAACUGAGAGGGUGAUCGGCCACACUGGAACUGGACCACGGUCCAGACUCCUACGGGAGGCAGCAGUAGGGAAUCUUCCGCAAUGGGCGAAAGCCUGACGGAGCAACGCCGCGUGAGUGAUGAAGGUCUUCGGAUCGUAAAACUCUGUCAUUAGGGAAGAACAAAUGUGGAAGUAACUGUGCACGUAUUGACGGUACCUAAUCAGAAAGCCACGGCUAACUACGUG